UGCUUGCUUGAACUACAAGGGAUAGAAAGAGUAGCAUUGAAGAGACUUUUAGAACCCCGCAAUUUCUACAAGCAAGAAGCAGGCUGAGAAUACUAUUCAGCUGAAAACACAGGCUUCAGGGAAAAGAAAGAAUACUUCAGACGAAAACCGAGCACUUGGAAAGAGAGCAGAGCCACAAGCUAUGGCUGGAGAUGACUCCCAGCCGUGACUAUGCAUCAAGGAACUGUCACACGUGCCUUGCUGGAUUUCAACAUUGCCAUGGACCAGUGCCUCCUGUGUGCCCUGUGUUCUACCAUUUUUACAAAGGGGUAUUGGCACUGGGUACCUGAGUUUGUCUCACCAUUAUAUACGGGUGUGGGGCACAGUUGACUUGCCUCUUCAGCUGGCAGGUCCGCAGAUGGAGAAGACCAGGACCCAAGCGAGCACAUCCUAAGAGCUUCGUCUGCCGCAGAGCUUGACGUAGAUGCCAACAGCCUCUAACGCUUUUUCCAGAGUACUGUAAUGUAAAUCAAUCUCCCCAGAUAGAAGCACAGAAAAAAGAGGAGAUCAGAGAAGUACAGCAUGUUGUUUCCAACAAGGUGGAAAAUUCAUCUGAAAUGACAGAAAUCCUGUGCAAUGGCAAAUCUCUGAGGAUUCAUGUGUCUCACCAAACUAGCUGACCGAGGAGCUGCCCCUGCGGCCAUGCGGGAGUCCGUGGGUUUGGUUACCCGGUGCCCGGUUUGCUCGGAUACCUGAGACGUUAGCGGUCAUCGCUGGUGUGGCUUUUCAGACAAAGCGAGCAUCCUAGGUAAUAACCCUCCAUGGCUUUGUGUAGAAAUCCACCCUCUGGGUAAAGAUACCUGGUCCCUGUUAUAAAAACGAGGCAUCCAA